rnacentral:rRNA from 1 species
CUGGCGGCAGGCCUAACACAUGCAAGUCGAGCGGCAACGACUACAUUGACCCUUCGGGGGAAUUUGUUGGGCGGCGAAGCGGCGGACGGGUGAGUAAUGCCUGGGAACUUGCCUUAGUGUGGGGGAUAACCAUUGGAAACGAUGGCUAAUACCGCAUAAUCUCUUCGGAUCAAAGAGGGGGACCUUCGGGCCUCUCGCGCUAAGAUUGGCCCAGGUGGGAUUAGCUAGUAGGUGGGGUAACGGCUCACCUAGGCGACGAUCCCUAGCUGGUCUGAGAGGAUGAUCAGCCACACUGGAACUGAGACACGGUCCAUACUCCUACGGGAGGCAGCAGUGGGGAAUAUUGCACAAUGGGGGAAACCCUGAUGCAGCCAUGCCGCGUGUGUGAAGAAGGCCUUCGGGUUGUAAAGCACUUUCAGCAGUGAGGAAGGCGGUAUCGUUAAUAGCGGUAUCGUUUGACGUUAGCUGCAGAAGAAGCACCGGCUAACU